GGGAAUACAGCUUAGUGGUAGAGUGCUUGCCUUACAUGCACAAAGCCCUGGGUUCAAUCCCCAAUAUUGCAA
rnacentral:tRNA from 1 species